rnacentral:lncRNA from 1 species
AUGCAUGCCAAGGCUCACACUGGCAAAUGUGAGGUACACCGUGCAAUUUAAGUGUACGAUUAAGUUUUUAGAAGCAUAUUCUUACAGCAUCAGAAAUAUUUAGCUUGUAGUCCACAUUAGUGAAAUACUCUAAUGCAGUGCUUUUCAAACCUUUUGUGGAGGACCCCCAGCACUGCAUUUUGUACUUCCCUCCCCAUCCCUUACAUCAAAAUUUGCUAAUGGCACCAAAUUCAGUUGAGGAUACACAGACUAAUCAAUAUUUUUUUAUGACAAAUGACUUGAUCUUAUGUUUUGGAUCAGAUUAGGUGGAGUGGUAGAAGCCAGGAUGGUGCAGGAAAUACUAUUGGUGAAGAGGUGGAACAGGUUAAUAGCUUCCUUUCAAGGGCUGCUCUUACUACGAAGUACAUGACUAAACUAAAUUGUUAACCCUUGCGUGUGACACCAUAAACUAGAUCUGUUUUGUGUUUUAAAGGCAAAGCAGAUAUGAUAACUGUGCUUGCCAUGGCAUGGAAUCAUAGGAAGGAAGAAAGUCUCCACAAGACACUGGUGAAAAGAUUUAUCAAAAGUACACAGAGAGCAGAAAUGGAAGUAGCCAAUCUUGAGAGUCUCAAGCAGGAGUUAAACAUCUCUAUGGAGGAUGCAGAUCAAUGGGUGUUUGAUGUCAAGCAAUGGGCAGCCACUGGUAUGUUGUAUAGCCACUGAUGCAUAAAUUGGUACUUUAUUUCCAUACAUGUGGGUAAAUUUUUGUAGUGAUACUGUGUUUUCUGUAAUGUGCAUAUUUCUGUUCAAGAGAGACACAGUACUCACAGGAGCCAGGAAGAGCUCCAGAGAGAAAUUGAUGAGAUUAUUUAUUCCAUCCUAAGAAAGAAGCAUGAUCUAUAUCGACAAAAUGGUAUUUGCUACUACGUCACUCAGCUUGCAAUUUUAAGUGUUUUUUUUUUUUUACCUUACAAACAGCAACCAAACAAGGCAACGCAAACGUAGGAGACUAAGUGAGCUCAAAAAGACACUCUGAGAAAAGAUAGUGCAGUACAACACCCUUCCUGGCUGUGAAGAGAAAAUUGACACAGAAGCAGCAUUCUGUCUCUCCGACGAUUUUAUUCUGCCUUGGGAAGCACAAGGAGAUGGUAAGUAAUGUGUUAUAUUUUUGUGCUUUUUAAACUCAGUUCCUGGAGGGCCGCAGCCCUGCAUAGUUUAGUUCCAAGGUGGGUAACUGAUAAAUGAAUCAAAGAAGACAUUUGGAGGACUCUAAAGGGCUAGUUCACCAACAAAUGAAAAUUCUGUCAGCAUUAAGCUUUUCCUAACCUUAACGAGUUUCUUUCUUUUGCUGAACAUAGAAGAAUAUAUUUUCAAGAAUGUUGGCAACCAGACUUGUGACAUUAUUCAUUGACUUCCUAGUAUUGUACUAAUAUAGAAAGUUGAUGGUUAACAGUUGAUAGUGAACUGUUUGGUAACCAGCAUUCUUCAAAAACUAUAUUCUGUGUUCAGGAGAUAAAACACAUACCUAAGGGUGAGUAAAUGAUGUAAAUGAUGACAUAAUUUACAAUUUCGGCUGAACUAACCCUUUAAUGCUAAUACAAUUUCAUUACAUUAGGUAUUUUGAAUAACUGCAUUAAUGCUUGUUUCAGGUGGAGAAUCAUAAUUCAAGGGGGGGUUGAUGGAUUCAGCCAAAUGAUCACAAUGCUACAGGCAUCCACUAAUAAUCGAAGUACAACAGUAAUGAAAUUGUUCAUGGAGGCUGUCCAAAGGUAUGGUGUUCAGUCUCGUGUCAGAUAUGACUAUAGUGGUGACUUGAAAGAGGCAGUGCUUUAAGAGGACGAAGCACUCAAAAUCAACGUGUGGAGAGGCUUUGGGGUGACCUGUGGAGAGGAAUUACAAACACGUACUAUGAGUUGUUUUCCUUUCUUGAGGAACA